rnacentral:lncRNA from 1 species
CCCAAAAACUGAUUCUUUGCCCUGACUUUUGUUCUUUGUUUUAGGUGAAGGAGAUUGGAGAGGAUUAUGAUUUUAUCAGUUUCCACAGGUCCAGGGCUCCAGCCAUUUGAUGCACGGAGGAAGGAGGAUUGGUCCAUCAGUAGCAGAGACAGAGACUUGUCCAUCAGGAAUCGAUCUCUUACCCAUAGCAAAGGAGAACUACGAGAAAACACUUCUUUUAGAGAAGCAGAGGUGGGAGGUCUACAGAAAAAAUAUUUUGAUUAUUGGAGGGGGAAAAUAAUGUCCAAACACUAAUGUUUAUCACUGGACAUUUCCUUCAGUUGAAAACAAAUGCACAAAGAAGAUAAAUACCUACGAAGGUAAUAUUGCAGCAUUACCCAAGUCAUGUCAAACAGUCAUUGAAGUGAGGUUUGGAUGGGCAUCCUUCCUCAAGACUCCAGGAGUUGUGUUUCCUCCCAGCUGGAGAAGAGGAGAAGCUAUCUCAUGGUCAGAACUAAAGGGUAGCGCUUUUCUGAUGAGGCAGUUUUAGAUUGCAUGAAAGAGAGAUGUAGAGUUGCAGAUAAUCAGGAGAGAAGAUAAGCAGUAGUUGUAGCAGUAGCAUCAAUCAACAGCAACAGAAGGAGGAUGCCUUCUGGGAGACUGACUCUAAGACUUAUUGCUGGAGCCUCUACCUUUUCCUGGUUUGUUGAUCAGAUUUCCUAGGAAAGAGUGUCUGAACUACACAUGGAGAAACUUCUGGAACAAUUGUAGACUUAUUCCACUUUGUUUCUUCCUUCACUUUUAUCGUAAUAGCAUGAUUUAUUACUAAGUUUUUCUCUGUUCCACUUAGCAUUUUGUUGACUAGUUAUUUGUAUUUUUAACAAUGGAUUUCUAGAUGAAGAUAAAAUCAUUUUAAUUGUGUUCUGAAUUGAUGUUUUGUUAGAGAAAGCAUGAUAAAGGGUGGGAAGAAGCCUGGGGAUAAUUGACUAUACCAAAUUUAACUGGUUAGAAUAUUUCAUUUCUAGCCUGGGGAUUGCCUGGGGGCCUAGAGCUUCAUGAAGUUUAUAAUAAUAUGUAUUUUAAGCUUUUUAACUGUAGGGAAGAAAAAGUGAGUGGAACUAGCUCUCUUGCCCUAGACAAAAAAUCCUCCCUUUAUCUCCUAGCAAACAGAUCCAUGGGUGACUUUGAAAAAGGGGCCUUCAGAUUUUCUCCAAUUCCUCAUAGAAGAAGGGGAAGGGAAAGUAGAGGCAGGGUCCUCAAGUGAAGGUCACAUAACUCCCUAUACAUGUCCUUGCUUUAUUUAAUUCAGUUCAUACUAGUGAAAGCUAUUUCUUAUUAAAAAAAGACAAUUAGAGAGGAUGAAAAGAAUUCUUUGGCCAUUCUAAUAAUAAGAAGAACCUUAUCACCAAACUUUUGUCUUUAAAAUUGAUACUAUAUGGUCAUUUUAGGAUCAACUUCCAAUAAAUAGCACUGCAUCACAAACCA